UACGUAGGGGGCAAGCGUUGUCCGGAAUCAUUGGGCGUAAAGAGCGUGUAGGCGGCCAGAUAAGUCCGCUGUGAAAUCUCGAGGCUCAACUUCGAGCUGUCGGUGGAAACUGUCUGGCUAGAGUCCGGAAGAGGAGAAUGGAAUUCCUGGUGUAGCGGUGAAAUGCGCAGAUAUCAGGAAGAACACCCGUGGCGAAGGCGAAUCUCUGGGCCUUACCUGACGCUGAGGCGCGAAAGCUAGGGGAGCGAACAGG
rnacentral:rRNA from 1 species